GGCUCAUCCAGAGGGGCAGAGGGACCGGCCCAGUGAAGCCCCGGCAACCGGCGUUCGCAUUCCACGCGCGCUUGGUGCCAAUUCCGGCCCGCCGUCCGGCGGGAAAGAUGAGGA
rnacentral:ncRNA from 1 species